UAAUAUUAAGCUAAAGUUUAAGCAUUCUGUUUACACCAGAAAAAAUUAUUGUAUAAACCAAUAAAUAUUAA
rnacentral:tRNA from 1 species